CGGAAAACGAAAAACGGAAAACGACUCGUUUACUGAUAUUGGAUACUGUGUUCAUGAAUGGGAAUCGGGGAUGAAAUAACAGUGCCAUUUUUCAUUCCAGAUUUUGCCGUACGUCUUUUUUAAUGACCGGAAGACGCCGUGUUAUGCCGCGAAAACACUUGAUCUGAUCCGUAGACCGAUUCGACAUGUCUUUAUCUGAAUAUUCAGAGUUUAUUAUACCCAGGAGAUCAAGUGGGAUGUCUUGUGGCGAUAUAGCCGCAGCACUGACUGACCACUUUGGCCUCCUGCGAGGCUUUUCCGAGAGGAAUGUGAGCCGGUGGUGCUCUGAGCAGGGACUCGGCGUGAAAGAUUUCUGCCCAGACAGGCGACUGGAAGGCGAAGUUGCGAAAGCAAUUGAAGAGACUGGGCCUUCCUACGGAAGAAAAAUGAUGACCGGAUAUCUUGCGGCCAAAGGGGUCAAAGCUUCUGAGGGCAGAGUGGGGAAAGUCCUACGGACCAUUCAUCAGCCUUACCAUACAGCAAGGCAGCAGGGUUCCAGAAACCUUAACCCGGUGCCUUACACGGCUGAGUACAUGGGUCACAAAAUCCACAUUGAUCAAAAUGAAAAGUUGGUGAUGUUUGGAGUGACCCAUGUCAUGGCUAUUGAUGGGUACAGUAAGAAGAUUGUUGGGCACUCCACUAUGCCCAUCAAAAACAACAUAAUCAUUUAUGAUGAAGUGUAUAGGUAAGAAAAUAAAAAAAAAUUUAAAAAAUGUGCUUAACUGCUUGAAUGUUAAAGGGUUAAAUGUAUUUGUGAUGUCAAAAAACAGAAUGAGUAUUAUAUUUAAGUUGGAAAGUUUCCUUCUGUUUGUGUAUUAUCUUCAGACCAGCUGUUUUGUCCUAUGGGAUAUGGGACCAAGUGCGGGUAGACUGUGGUCGGGAGUUUUUCCUGACCCUGUAUAUGCAGGAGAAGCUGGCUGCAUACCGUCACAACAAAGAAAGGCAGCCAUACCUCCAAACUCCAUCUACCAGGGUAAAAUACAUGUCAUAAAAAAUACAAUUGAUGCUUGUUUGCAUUCAGGGGCCUGCUGC
rnacentral:lncRNA from 1 species